rnacentral:tRNA from 1 species
GCCGGGAUGGCGGAAUUGGUAGACGCGCCUGAUUUAGGUUCAGGUGCCUUAGGGCGUGCAGGUUCGAUUCCUGUUCCCGGUA